CACGUAGGGGGCGAGCGUUGUCCGGAUUUAUUGGGCGGAAAGAGCUCGUAGGCGGUUUGGCAAUUCGGGUGUGAAAUUUCGAGGCUCAACCUCGAAACGCCACUCGAUACUGCCAUGACUGGAGUCCGGUAGAGGAGUGCGGAAUUCCUGGUGUAGCGGUGAAAUGCGCAGAUAUCAGGAGGAACACCAACGGCGAAGGCAGCACUCUGGGCCGGUACUGACGCUCAUGUGCGAAAGCGUGGGGAGCAAACAGG
rnacentral:rRNA from 1 species